CGUGGCCUAGUGGUUAAGACGUUGGGCUAAUAACCUAAUGGUCGUGGGUUCAAGCCCGG
rnacentral:tRNA from 1 species